CAGCCGCCGCGGGAAUACGUAGGUGGCAAGCGUUGUUCGGAUUUACUGGGCGUAAAGGGCGCGUAGGCGGGCGAAUAAGUCAGGGGUGAAAUCCCAAGGCUCAACCUUGGAACUGCCUUUGAUACUGUUUGUCUUGAGUCCGGGAGAGGUGAGUGGAACUGCGAGUGUAGAGGUGAAAUUCGUAAAUAUUCGCAAGAACACCAGUGGCGAAGGCGGCUCACUGGCCCGGAACUGACGCUGAGGCGCGAAAGCGUGGGUAGCAAACAGGAUUAGAUACCCCAGUAGUCCCUGUCUCUUAUAC
rnacentral:rRNA from 1 species